GUUCAAAAUGCUCAGUUGGUAGAGCAUGAGAUUCUUAAUCUCAGGGUCCUGGUUUCAAGCUCUACUUUGGGCA